UUCCUACGGGAGGCAGCAGUGAGGAAUAUUGGUCAAUGGGCGCGAGCCUGAACCAGCCAAGUCGCGUGAGGGAAGACGGUCCUAUGGAUUGUAAACCUCUUUUGUCGGGGAGCAAAAGACGCCACGCGUGGCGUUCCGAGAGUACCCGAAGAAAAAGCAUCGGCUAACUCCGUGCCAGCAGCCGCGGUAAUACGGAGGAUGCGAGCGUUAUCCGGAUUUAUUGGGUUUAAAGGGUGCGCAGGCGGAAGAUCAAGUCAGCGGUAAAAUGUCGGGGCUCAACCCCGGCCGGCCGUUGAAACUGGUUU
rnacentral:rRNA from 1 species